CGGAGAUCCGGGGCCUGCGCUGCGCACUCGAGCCUGGCGGGCCGGCACGGUGCGGGCCAUGAGCGGGGCGGUGCCCCAGGACCUAGCGAUAUGUGUAGCAAGAUGUAUAGCUUGUGAAGAAGUUCAGGAAACGCCACCCCAAAAUAUGCUGCAUUGGAUCUCAAACUGAAGGCACUUGGGGAGCAGCAGAUGGAGGGCUGUCUCUGAACUUACUUCAUCUACCUAAAGACACAUCCUCCAAAAGGAACUCUAGGCCGGGCGCUGUGGCUCACGCCUGUAAUCCCAGCACUUUGGGAGGCUGAGGUGGGCGGAUCACUUGAGGCCAGGAGUUCGAGACCAGUCUGGCCGACAUGACAAAACCCUGUCUCUACUAAAAAAUACAAAAAUUAGCCGGGCAUGGUGGCGCACGUAAUCCCUGCUACUCGGGAGGCUGAGGCACAAGAAUGGCUUGAACCUGGGAGGCAGAGGUUGCAGUGAGCCAAGAUUGCACCACUGUACUCCAGCCUGAAAAAAAAAACAAAAGAAGGAACUCUAUUGUCAUGAAUCCCUUCCCUGCUAACCUUAUGAACCAGGGAAGAUUAAUUCCUAUCACAGGAGAUGAGACUGGAGGUCUAUAUCACAUGCAGAAAGACAGCCUUAGCUGUCACCUGUUCUUCUGAGGGCCCAUUGAUUUUUUUUUCCCAAAAAUCAUUAAGUCGGGUGCAGUGGUGUGCACCUAUAGGGAGGAUCACUUGAGCCCAGGAUAUAUAUAUACAUAUAUGUGUAUACACACACACACACACACACACACACACACACACAAAAUAUCUUAAGUGAAUAGUGUACGUGGUUUACUCUCCCCUAAGUUGCCUAUAAGAAAUAUAGAAAUAUAAUUAUUUCUAUGGUUUUGUUAUAUAAUUAUUUCUAUAAUUUUAUUAUAUAAUUUUUCUAUAAUUUUAUAGUAUAAUUAUAUAAUUAUUUCUUUUUUAUAUACUUUAAAUUUUAGGGUACAUGUGCACAACGUGCAGGUUUGUUACAUAUGUAUACAUGUGCCAUGUUGGUGUGCUGCACCCAUUAACUCAUUUACAUUAGGUAUAUCUCCUAAUGCUAUCCCUCCCCUCUCCCCCCAAUAAUUAUUUCUAUAAUUUUAUAUGAUAAUUAUAUAAUUAUAUAAAACAUAUUUCUAUAAUUUCUAUAGAAAUAUAAGAAAACUUCUCAGUCUCACUGGGUUCUGGGUAUUUACUUUUCCUUGUUGUGAUGCCCCUUACAUGUAACAAAUUUGUAUUAUUUUUCUUUCCUUAAACUGCUGACUGUUUAUUUCAAUCACCUAACCCUCAGAAGGUAGAGGGAAAGUCUUCCAUCCUCCACACUUGCUUAUCUAUUCUACUAGAUAGUAAAUUCAUGGAGGUCAGGAAACACGGAUUUUUCUGUUUUUUCUCUUCUAUUCCCUGACCACUCUGUCUAAAAAAAGUAGAACAUUUUGAAGCCCCUAUUAGGCUGAUGUUCACUUCCGAUUUAUUACGGAAUUUCUACUCCGUGGCCCCGUUGUCUUUAUAAUCUUUAAAUUUUUUCUUUUACAUGUUUUUAUUGAUACGGACUCACUGUUAAUUUUUUCAUCUUGAUAUUGGAGUCACAUUUGGGACUCCAAUCCAAGGUACACUGGCCCUUAGUUUUGUGAUUUGCAUCUGGGUUGUUUUCUUAGAUUUGAAGCAUUUGGUGUUUUCUUUCUCUGAUUCUAAAGUAAUACAUGCCUAUUAUACAAAGUGUAGAAAUUAUUCUAAUAAUUUUUUUUUCUUUUUUGAGACGGAGUCUCGCUCUGUCUCUCAGUCUGGAGUGCAGUGGUGUGAUCUCGGCUCACUGCAUCCUCCGCAUCCCAGGUUCAAGUGAUUCUCCUGCCUCAGCCUCCUGAGUAGCUGGGAUUACAGGCUCCCGCCACCACACCCGGAUAAUUUUUUGUAUUUUUAGUAGAGACGGGGUUUCACCUUGUUAGCCAGGAUGGCCUCGAUCUCCUGACCUGGUGAUCCGCCUGCUUUGGCCUCCCAAAGUGCUGGGAUUACAGGCGUGAGCCAUUGCGCCUGGCCUCAUACUGCAUUUUUAAUUUUGAGUUUUGCUUUUUCAUUUAAUGUGGCAGUUAUUCUAUUUAGUUUUUCUUUUUUUUUUUUUUUCGAGAUGGAGUCUCACUCACUCUGUCGCCUAGGCUAGAGUGCAGUGGCACGAUCUGUGCUCACUGCAACCUCCGCCUCCCGACUUCAAGUCAUUCUCCUUCCUCAGCCUCCCAAGUAGCUGGGAUUACAGGUGCCACGCCACCAUGCCUGGCUAAUUUUUGUAUUUUUAGUAAAGAUGGUGUUUUGCCACGUUGACCAGGUUGUUCUCAAACUCCUGACCAUAAGUGAUCUGCCUGCCUCAGUCUCCCAGAGUGCUGGGAUUACAGGUUGUAAGCCAGCGCACCCAGCCUGUUAUUUUCCUUUUUUACUAAAAAUUAUUCAUUUUAUGGGUGAUUUUAAUUUUCUUGGUGCUUUUCUCUAUUUUCCACAGGUAAUUCAUGUGUUGCUUUUAUAACGCAAAAGAUAAUAAUAAAUGCUGUGCAAGGAAUUUGAAUGUAAUCUUAUGAACGUAAUUUUUUUUGGCUGAGUAAUUUAACUCUUCUCUUUUCGUUGGCUAUUAAAGUUGUUUCAGAUUUUAGGCUUCAUCUAUAAUGCCAUGGUGAGCAUUUUUGUGAAUAAAACCUUUUCAGUGUUUAGGGUUAUUUAUUAGGAUUAUGGUCCAGAGUGGUAUGAUAGACACUGAGUAUGUACAUAUUUAAGAUUCUUGAUAUAUAGCAAUUAAAAAAAAAAAAGUCAUGCCAGUUUUUACUCUGACCUGAGUUUGCUUAUGGAAUAAGCAUUUAUCUGGAGCCCAUAUUCUGCUACGCAUUUAAAGUCUUUAUUUCAUAUAAUCCUA
rnacentral:lncRNA from 1 species